rnacentral:lncRNA from 1 species
GAAGGAAGAAAACAAGACACAGGGAGUAACUACAGUAUGUUUUUGUGUACUGUCUUUAUUUUACUUUAUUUAUUUUAUUUUAUUUUAUUUUUGGUAGUGGAGAUUGAAUCCAGGGGCAUUUAACCACUGAGCCACACCCUCAGCCCUUUAACGUUUUAUUUAGAGACAGGGUCUCGAUAAGUUGCUUAGGGCCUCUCUAAGUUGGUGAGGCUGGCUUUGAACUCCCAAUCCUCCUGCUUCAGCCUCCCAAGCUGCUGGGAUGACAGGUGUGCGCCACUGUGGGAGACCAACCUUACACGACUGAGUCAUACUCCCCGGCUGGGUCCUGAGGCGCUCUGAGGUGCUCGGUUGAAGAAAUGUGGCAGAGCUUUCCCCACCCUUCUUGGGUCCGAGGGUCGAGGGUCGGUGUCUCGUGCAUGGGUGUGUCUUGCUACAGCCCCAUGGGUUUGUAAUAUAACCCCUUUCCCUGUUUAAGAUAGAAUCUUCCAUGGAAGAUUACUGUGCCCUUGGGUAUGGCCUACCCAGGUGUCAGUCAACCUGCUGACAGUGGACAUCAUGAAGAUACUCAGCCCCCUGAAACCUGACCCCUUGCCUCAUUUGAAUAGCUUCUCCUCAAUAAAAGGGGUCAGCCGCGCUCUCGCUCUCUCUCUUCCUGUGGACCCUUAGGGUCAGAGGAGCCGUCACAGCCACCCCAAAGAAAAAGGUAUUGUGUCUCUUGUGUGGUUAUUUUGCGCAGCCCAGUUUAACUGGAGUGACUCCUGAGCCUUUUAGUCGCGAGAACAGAAACCCAGCACGCCCCCAUGCCCAGCCAUCAUGUACUGUCUUAUUCCAUUUGGACUGCUAUAACCAAAUACCAUGGAUGGGAUGGUUAUAAACAACAGAAAUUUAUUUCUUACAGUUCUGGAGAUUGGGAAGCCCAAGAUCAAGGUGUUAGUAGAUUCAGGGUCUGCUGAGGGCCCACUUUCUGCUUUAUAGAUGAUGGCUCCUAGCUGUGUCCUCACAUGGCAGAAGGGACGAAUCAGCUCUCUUGGCCUCUUUUAUACGGGCACUAAUCCCAUUUAUGAGAGUUCUGCCUCUAUACAUAACUUUAUGAAUUUCUACACAUGUAUAAUAUUGUUUAUAAUAAAAUAUUUGUUCAGGGUGAAGGGCAAAGCAAUACAUAUGGCAUAAUUUUUUAUUUUUUAAACUAAACUAUUAUGUUUAUUAAAAGAUUUGGGGAAAUAUUUGACAAACUUUUAAUGAUGGUUAGCUCUAAGGAGGAGGGUAUAGUGUUGAGGUUAUAGGAAGCAUUUUGCUUUUUGCUGGAUACAUUUUUUUCAUUUAAAUAUUUUCCACUGUACAAGUCUUACUCUUAUAAUUUUAAAAGCACUCAUAAGCCAGGUGCACACACCUGUAAUCCCAGCAGCUUGGGAAGCUGAAGCAGGAGGACCUUGAGUUCAAAGACAGCUUCAGCAACUUACCAAGGCACUUAGCAACUCAGCAAGACCCUGUCUCUACGUAAAAUAUUUAAAAGGGCUGGGGAUGUGGCUCAGUGGUUAAGCACCCCUGGGUUCAAUUCUCAGUAUCAAAAAAAAAAAAAAAGCACUCAUAAAAAUUCAAUUUUAGGGCUGGGGUUAUGGCUCAGUGGUAACGUGCUUGCCUAGCAUUCGAGAGGCAGUGGGUUCGAUUCUCAGCACCACAUACAAAUAAAUAAAAUAAAUGUCCAUCAACAACUAAAAAAAAUAAAUUAAAAAAAUAAAUUUUUAAACAUGCUUUUAACAUUGACCCCCCCCUUUAUUUGUACCCUAGGACACCGAAGGCACCACAGGAAGUCAAACAAGCAUUCCAGAGCCUGCCGGCAAUUUCUCCAACGAUGUCAAUUAGAAAGCUUUGCUCUGCCCUUGUAAGAGCUCUGAGAUGAGAGCCUUCUCUCCACAAAUUCUCAGCCAAAAAGGCAGUGGACCCAAAGCAUGUUCUUAUUCUUCCCCACUCCCUGUCCCCCCACCUCCACCAUCAUUCCAGUCCUAUCAGAUGGCACCUUUUUCCAACAUCAUGGAUUAUUGCUCCCUCUAGUGCAGCCUCCUCUUGCCAGUCUUUUUCUGUGCCCUCCCUUACCUGGGCUUCAGCUUAACUAUGUGAAAGGAUCUAGGAAACCCCACUCUCCUUGCUGGUCUCACUUAUCAUUAAAUACCACCUGGAAAGUAGCAAACAGAAAUCAAUAAAUGUUUUUAAAUGUACUA